GACGGACGCUGGCGGCGUGCUUAACACAUGCAAGUCGAACGGUGAAGCGCCUUCCUUUUUGGUGGGUGUGGAUGAGUGGCGAACGGGUGAGUAACACGUGAGUAACCUGCCCCCUUCUUCUGGAUAACCGCAUGAAAGUGUGGCUAAUACGGGAUAUUCUGGGUCUGUCGCAUGAUGGGUCUGGGAAAGAUAUUGUUUCGGUGGGGGAUGGGCUCGCGGCCUAUCAGCUUGUUGGUGGGGUGAUGGCCUACCAAGGCGGUGACGGGUAGCCGGCCUGAGAGGGUGGACGGUCACACUGGGACUGAGACACGGCCCAGACUCCUACGGGAGGCAGCAGUGGAGAAUAUUGCACAAUGGGCGCAAGCCUGAUGCAGCGACGCCGCGUGAGGGAUGGAGGCCUUCGGGUUGUGAACCUCUUUCGCCAGUGAAGCAGGCCUGCCUCGUUUGUGGGUGGGUUGACGGUAGCUGGAUAAGAAGCGCCGGCUAACUACGUG
rnacentral:rRNA from 1 species